rnacentral:rRNA from 1 species
GGCGCACGGGUGAGUAACACGUGGGUUAUCUACCUUAUGGUGGGGGACAACAUCCCGAAAGGGGUGCUAAUACCGCAUAAGUCCACUUCGGUGGGGAAAGGCGGCUUCGGCUGUCGCCAUUAGAUGAGCCCGCGUCCCAUCAGCUUGUUGGUAGGGUAAAAGCUUACCAAGGCUACGACGGGUAGCUGGUCUGAGAGGAUGAUCAGUCACACUGGAACUGAGACACGGUCCAGACUCCUACGGGAGGCAGCAGUGGGGAAUAUUGCGCAAUGGGCGAAAGCCUGACGCAGCGACGCCGCGUGGGUGAUGAAGGCCUUCGGGUCGUAAAGCCCUGUGGGAGAGGGAAUAACAAGCAGUGGGUUAAUACCCCAUUGCCCUGAAGGUACCUCUCCAGAAAGCACCGGCUAACUCCGUGCCAGCAGCCGCGGUAAUACGGAGGGUGCGAACGUUGUUCGGAAUUACUGGGCGUAAAGCGCGUGUAGGCGGCGCGUUAAGUCAGAUGUGAAAGCCCUCGGCUCAACCGAGGAAGAGCAUUUGAAACUGGCGUGCUAGAGUACGGGAGAGGGUUGUAGAAUUCCCGGUGUAGAGGUGAAAUUCGUAGAUAUCGGGAGGAAUACCGGUGGCGAAGGCGGCAACCUGGACCGAUACUGACGCUGAGA